rnacentral:tRNA from 1 species
GUGGGUGUGGCUCAGUGGUAGGCGCUGGUCUAGCAUGCAUGAGGUCUUGGGUUUAAUCCCCAACACACACA